GACGAACGCUGGCGGCGUGCUUAACACAUGCAAGUCGAACGGAAAGGCCCUGCUUUUGUGGGGUGCUCGAGUGGCGAACGGGUGAGUAACACGUGAGUAACCUGCCCUUGACUUUGGGAUAACUUCAGGAAACUGGGGCUAAUACCGGAUAGGAGCUCCUGCUGCAUGGUGGGCGUUGGAAAGUUUCGGCGGUUGGGGAUGGACUCGCGGCUUAUCAGCUUGUUGGUGGGGUAGUGGCUUACCAAGGCUUUGACGGGUAGCCGGCCUGAGAGGGUGACCGGCCACAUUGGGACUGAGAUACGGCCCAGACUCCUACGGGAGGCAGCAGGGGGGAAUAUUGCACAAUGGGCGGAAGCCUGAUGCAGCAACGCCGCGUGCGGGAUGACGGCCUUCGGGUUGUAAACCGCUUUCGCCUGUGACGAAGCGUGAGUGACGGUAAUGGGUAAAGAAGCACCGGCUAACUACGUG
rnacentral:rRNA from 1 species